rnacentral:rRNA from 1 species
GAUGAACGCUGGCGGCGUGCCUAAUACAUGCAAGUCGAGCGAACAGACGAGGAGCUUGCUCCUCUGACGUUAGCGGCGGACGGGUGAGUAACACGUGGAUAACCUACCUAUAAGACUGGGAUAACUUCGGGAAACCGGAGCUAAUACCGGAUAAUAUAUUGAACCGCAUGGUUCAAUAGUGAAAGACGGUCUUGCUGUCACUUAUAGAUGGAUCCGCGCCGCAUUAGCUAGUUGGUAAGGUAACGGCUUACCAAGGCAACGAUGCAUAGCCGACCUGAGAGGGUGAUCGGCCACACUGGAACUGAGACACGGUCCAGACUCCUACGGGAGGCAGCAGUAGGGAAUCUUCCGCAAUGGGCGAAAGCCUGACGGAGCAACGCCGCGUGAGUGAUGAAGGUCUUCGGAUCGUAAAACUCUGUUAUUAGGGAAGAACAAAUGUGUAAGUAACUGUGCACGUCUUGACGGUACCUAAUCAGAAAGCCACGGCUAACUACGUG